ensembl:ncRNA F25C8.6 ncRNA
AUUGCAUCUAAGGACAACAGGAUAAUGAAGUAGGUAAAUAAGUUCUGGAUGUUAAUAUGAAUUACUUUUGAGCAAGGGUGUACAUAUAAUAUAAUAUAGGUAAAUUACAUUUGAGUUACUGAUG